UUGAUCAUUUUGAGUAUCCGUAGUCUUGUGUUUACAUGUGUAGUGAGUUAUGUUAGCUAGGAGUAAGCACACAUUUUGCUGCAGAAAGUACCAUUUAACUUUAUGCUGAAAACAAAUGCUGGACAUUUUGUUUUUAAUUGUCUACCAAGCUAGCCUUUCAGUUUGCUAGCGACGUUACUAGCUAACUUGAAUUAGACGUGUUUUAACAGAUGACAGGAGCUAGUUAGCUAAAGGUAGCUAGCUAGCUGGUAAUAAGACUGAAUGCUAUGGCCGGGUCACUCGUGAGUUAACUAUCCUUACUCCAAAUGCUAUGUAGCUAGCUAACGUUAGCUGGUGAGUCUCAUUUAGGUUGUCCUGCUCAGACCUCACUUCUUAAAUCUAUUAGAGGGAUUUGCCUGCUUCACAGAAAGCUUGCAGUCCGAGAACAUCAAUAUGCAAACUGCACGAAGCCCCACGCUAAAUUUGACAAAUGAAGCUUAUCAAAACGGUUUCUACUUUUCUGUAUCUACCUCAAGGUCAGGUAACUUAUUUGGAAUUGCAGUCGGUCACUGGGACUGAUUAUGCUCGAGACGAGUAGCAAGGAACAUGACAACGACCUCUUGCUGUCACCUGCACAUGAUCCAUCGACUGAUAUAGUUGCUGCUGAGGAAAGUCAAUUGCAUUGCAAUGUGAAGGAGCUCAUCGCCCCUGGUAAGACAUAUAUAUAACCUAUUAUCAUCACAGAAAUGCGCUAAAUGAGUGGAACCUGGCUUCUUUGAUUCCAAAGUUUGAGGGUGGGGCGUGACAGCUUUUCAUUGACUGUGUAAAACAGCACCUUCGUCUUCCACAUUGUAAUUUGGAACAGCGAUUGAGGAAGUCAACAAAACCAUUCCAUUGUUUCUGCAACUACAUCCCCCUAACAAGCAAUGUUUACAAUGUCUUCUACCCUCUUGUGGCUUUGAGACUCUAUUGACUCUUGUCAAGGAGGGAAAUUUAAGUAGUCCAACCUCAAUUGAAAUAAUUAACUUCACUAGCUACUUGCUGUUUAUUAUCUAUGCAUAGUCACUUUACCCCUACCUAAUGUACAAAUUGCCUCGACUUAACCUGCACCCUGCGUAUUGAUUCGGUACUGGUACCCCCUUUAUAGAGCCUCAUUAUUGUUACUUUUUUGUUGUAAAUAUUUUCUUAACUGCGUUGUUGGUUAAGGGCUUGUAAGUAAGCAUUUCAUGGUAAGGUGAAACACCUGUUGUAUUCGGCCCAUGUGACAAAUUUAAAAUGAGAUUUGAAAAAGAUAACUAUUAUUAGAGAAUUGUGAGAACAUUCUCUUCUCACUGUAACAUCAAAGGUUAAGUGCAUUCCAUAGUCAUUGGAUGACAUGCUGCACAAACAGAUAGAGCCCCCUUAUUUUUUUAUAUAUAUAUUUUUUAAUCGAAGUACAUUAUAUUGUUAUGUACUGUCUUGAUGGUGGCCAGUUCCAUGGCUUAAUAUCAGAAGUUCUAGGAUCAUCGCUCUCACACUGCAUCACAAGAAACUGUUUGCAUUCUUGUUGUUGUCAAAGCACCACAAUGGAUGGGGUGGAGUCACCACAGCAGGUUGGUGGCACCUUAAUUGGGAAGAAUGGGCUUGUGUUAAUGACUGGAGUGGAAUGGUAUCAAACACAUGGUUUCCAGAUGUUUGAAUCCAUUUACUCCGUACUGGACAUUAUUAUGAGCCGUUCUCCCCUCCGCAUCCUCCUGUGAGUCACACAGACCAUACAUUUUACUAUGAGCAGUUUUUUUGUUGUUGCUCAACUACUUUCAAGGAAUAGCUUGUGUUCACUAGCUUCAAAUAUUCAUUACAUUCACCCAGAGUCUUGACGCACUUUUGUUGGAAAUUAUGUCUGCGAUAUUAGGAGGAUCCAUCUUAGCCAUUUGCAUGCUGUCAUCAUCUCCCCCUUGUUCCUCAGAAAAUGAAAUAGUGAAGAGGAUCAAGAAGAGACCCCAAAAGCCACGUGGAAGGAAACAAAGUCCAAGUCAUCCGAAUGCUCUGACAAUCUCAUGUCCGAACUUCCAUUCGCAGCUACAGCAAUAUGGAACAACCUUGGCUGUAAACAGUUUAUGCCAUUUUAUUUAUGCAUUUAUAUCUAGGUUAACUUAAAUUAACAUCUCAAGACUAAUAUAACAUGGUUGUAACAUACCUUUUUAUAGAGAGGAUGAGUUCAGUAGUGACCAUGACAGGGCUCUAUGCUGGUGGCACCAACUCUGUAAGUCUAUAAUGACUGGUUAUUUGUAGCAUUUGCCAAUUGAUGCAAGGACCUUCCUUGUACCGCAGCUGCCCUUGAAUUCAAAUUUCCUCCAGCAGCCUAGUGGCGAUAAAUAAUGCAUUGUUGACUUGGCUGGCGGUUGAUUUUACAGGAGGGCAGUCAAAUCCAACUACAGAAUAGCAGAAUCACACAUUUGUCUCCUGUAAAACACUAAUUGUGCUACAUUUCCCCUAGUUACCAAGCCAGAGGCCAAUUUGAAGAAGAAGUGAAAGAGAGAUCAGUGCAGGCCCUGGUGAUGCAGAGGGACUCCAGACUCACUCGGGCUCUGGUGCCUGUAGCCAGUCUCCACAUCACGCUGCUGGUGACCCACUUGGCCAGUCAAGAGGAAGUAAACUUGGCAGUGUGUGCAGUGGCCCAGAUGAAGGCAUCACUGCAGGACCUGCUGUGGGGGCGAGAGCUCAUCCUGCCCUUCCACAGCAUCGGACACUUCAGGAAGGUGGUGUUUUGUAGAGUUGGCCCAGGGAGAGAACCUUGUCAAACUGGUCCAGAUCGCAGAAUGGACCAUUAUCAUGCACCUGUAUCAAAACCGGGGUAGCGAGAAAAGGUAAGUGUCACCUAUGCAUUUAAAUAGCGAAUGGAGGAAGCUUUCCUGUGGUUAAUUUGUGCCAGCCAGGUAGGCUAUACUCCUGUUGUAAAGAAAAGCAGUGUGCUUAAUAUUAGGGAAGUUGAGAUAUAGAAAGCUGAUGGGAUACUUUAUUUUUUAUAGAAGCCAUCACGUAAUUGCAUAGCCUAUAGAUAUGUUGCGCAACAGGAGCUCAUGGGCUCUCAUGAAAUUUUUGAUUACAUUUGCAUUGAUGUCACAGUGAUUAGAGGGCUGCGUACCAGGCAGUUAGCACGUUUGGUUGGCUGCUCAUGACCAUCAGAGCUUGGAGAAGCCUACUUACCGUGACUUAACUGGCGGUCACUUGUCUUCACUUACCUUCGUGACUGGGAGUAAUACGGUCACCACAACAGCCCUAGUCAUAGAUCAGUUAUUGUCAUUGAAAGCAAGUCUAAGAAGCGGUAGAUCUGUUCAAUGGGCACUUUUUCUGCUUCUAUGUUUUAGUUGUUGCAUCUUUCAGUUUUGUGCACCGGCUGAAAAUACAAUUAUUUGUAGUUAUGGAAAAUAUAUUUCACACAAUGUUUGUCUACACUAUACUUGUUUGUUUUGUCACAAACUGAAAUUCGGCAUACUUCCAAUUUUAGCAACCACAAAAUGGUGGAGCUAUUUCUGCAUUAGAGUGCAUCUUAAAUGUUUUGCUUUUUUUCUCUCGCAUAAUCAAAAUCUGAUAUCUUUAUUAUUUUGUACUUUUUAGAUAUUACAAUCUUUUUUCAAUGAGGCUGUGCUUUUUUAGAUGUAGAAAGCUUCCCUUAAAUAGAGACACUAACAGAUUAUCAGCUGCUGUCUUUUACUGCCCAUUUGUGUUCUUCCACUAACCCCUAUACCCCCCACCCUCUCCUCCUAUUGAUUAUCUCCUUGUCUUACACCACUCUGACUUAAAGUUGCUCUCUCCCUCGUGGUCCUGAACUACAAAUAGAUCUGCUGUUGUUUUUCCCAUCACCCUCGCUCUGUCUCUGGUCAUUUGCGCCAGGUCUUGUGAGGAAAACGUUUGAGGAGAAAUGCAUCUCGUCUAGUGACCGCAAAGCCUUCAAGCCUCACCUUACCUUCAUGAAGCUGUCCAAAACUCCUCCUCUACACAGUCAGGGUUUAAAGAAGCUGUACUCUGACUACGCUCGUCACCACUUUGGAAACGAGAGGGUGUUCAGACUGGCCCUCUGCUCAAUGGUGAAGAAAAAGACCCCAGAUGGAUUCUACCACCGAGGUCAGUUUCGGUGUCAAGAGGGGUCCGGAGCCUGACGAUGAAGAGCUUUUGAGCCUGAGUAAGAGGCUGGUGGAAGACGCCGUGCUGCUGGCCGUGCAGCAGUUCAUGGACGAGACUCAACACAACGGGGCCGCGUCAUCUGACCCGGCGCGGCCCUCAGACAACCUCAACACUAACGCUGUCAAAACAACCGACACCAGCGCCAGCAGCAAGUGACCACAGCCAAUUCCCCCAGGCAGCACUGGACACUAACCAGUCAGGCAGGCAGUCAGCCAGCCAGCCAACCGGCCCAGGAGCCAAUGGGCAGUACUGUUACUGGAUCAAGCCCAGUUGAGGUGUUUUACUAGAGAAGGAAGAAAGGUUUUGUGGCAAAACUCUGGAUUGAGUGUGGAAUCCAUAUGCAGUUUUUUGUGGACUUGAUUUUGUGUACCUGAUUGUCACCAAUGAUCAAGGCAGCCUCCCGCCACACAAUCCCUCCUGUCAUGUCUGUCAGUUCAUCUGUCUAGUGUGGACCUUUGUUCAUUCUUGAUUUAUCUGUGCCCUGGGAGAAAGAGUUGGCCUUCUGAAGGAAAUUUCUGUUCUGAUUAAUAUGCUACGUGAGGUGUGGGUCGUUCCAAUGCUCAGAGUGGAGCUGACAUGUCACGACACACACUACAGACUGAUCUUGGUUAGGUUAGGCUGUACCUCGGCCCUCCAUGGUGCAGUCAGUACAAAGACAUUCACUGUCUUUCUACUAAGCUAAAACAAAACGGCACUACAAAAGGAACUGCAACUCAAAAACCUGAGAAAAGGGAAAAUGAGCUCAUCUAUGCAGCUGGACAAUAUGCUGUGAACUAUGUUUACAUGAUUCCUGUCUCAUCUGUGCUGUAUGUGGCUAAAACUUGAAAAGGUAAAUGAAGAGUGGGUCCCAUGUGCUACCUGUGGUAAAAUAUGCAUGUUAAAAUAUGACAAAUAGGUUGACCUACCAGCAAUGAGGAUCAUGUUAGGUUCGUGUUUGUUUGUCACCUGUAGGAGGGACUGGUCAUGCAGCAGGCCUGGUUAGGAAGGCCCGGUGCACACACAAUCAUUCUCUGUCUCAGAACCUACAGGACAUAAAGGAGCAUCUAUCCCAGCCGGCUGUCCAAGCUAGCAUCCGCCAGGAGAUCUCUGGCACCUGACUGACUGAACACUCCCAGCUCCCACCAGCAGUGCGGAGACCGCACCAAGUAACUACAGAUACUGUAGUAGGCUAGUGUACUACACACAGUAGAUAGAUACAGUGCAUUCGGAAAGUAUUCAGACCCAUUGACUUUUUCCCAUAUUUUGUUACGUUACAGCCUUAUUCUAAAAUGGAUUGAAUGUUUUUUUCCCUUCAUCAAUCUACACACAUGGGGUAUUGUGACAAAGCAAAAACUGGUUUUAAAAACUUUUUGCAAUUUUAUAAAGAAUUAUAUUAAAUAAAAUAUCAUAUUUUCAUUAGUAUUCAGACCCUUUACUCAGUACUUUGUUGAAGCACCUUUGGCAGUGAUAACAGCAUCGAGUCUUCUUGGAUAUGACACUACAAGCUUGGCAUGCCUGUAUUUAGGGAGUUUCUCCCCUUCUCUGCAUAUCCUCUCAAGCGCUGUCAGUUUGGAUGGGGAGUGUCGCUGCACAGCUAUUUUCAGGUCUCUCCAGAGAUGUUAGCUCGGGUUCAAGUCCGGGCUCUGGCUGGGCCACUCAAGGACAUUCAGAGACUUAUCCCUAAGCCACUCCUGCAUUGUCUUGGCUGUGUGCUUAGGGUCGUUGUCCUGUUGGAAAUAGAACCUUUGCCCCAGUCUGAGGUCCUGAGCGCUCUGGAGCAGGUUUUCAUCAAGGUUUUCAUCAACUUUACUCCGUUCAUCUUUCCCUUGAUCCUGACUAGUCUACCAGUCCCUGCCACUGAAAAACAUCCCCACAGCAUGAUGCUGCCGCAACCACGCUUCGCCGUAGGGAUGGUGCCAUGCUUCCUCCAGACGUGACGCUUGGUAUUCAGGUCAGAGUUCAAUCUCGGUUUCAGCAGACCAGAGAAUGUUAUUUCUCAUGGUCUGAGAGUCCUGCAAACUCCAAGCGGGCUGUUGUGCCUUUUACUGAGUGACUUCCGUCUGGCGACUAUUAGAAAUACCUGAUUGGUGGAGUGCUACAGAGAUGGUUGUCCUCCUGGAAGGACCAUCCCAUCUCCACAAAGGAACACUGGAGCUCUGUCAGAGAAACCAUCGGGUUCUUGGUCACCUCUCUGACCAAGUCCCUUCUCCCUUGAUUGCUCAGUUUGGUCGGGCGGCUAGCUCUAGGAAGAGUUUUGGUGGUUCCAAACCUCUUCCAUUUAAGAAUGGUCCAUCAUUCUGUGAUGACCACUGUGUUCUGUGAUCGGCCACUGUGUUCUUAGGGACCUUCAAUGCUGCAGAAAUGUUCUGGUACUCUUCCCCAGAUCAAUGCCUCGACACAAUCCUGUCUCGGAGCUCUACGGACAAUUCCUUUGACAGGGCUUGGUUUUUGCUCUGACAUGCACUGUCAACUGUGGGACCUUAUAUAGACAGUUGUGUACCUUUCCAAAUCAUGUCCAAUCAAUUUCAUUUUAAUUUAGUUUGGUGAUAAAAAUAAAAAAAAUGUUUUAUUGAACUGCAUUGUUGGUUAAGGGCUUGUAAGUAAGCAUGUGACAAAUAAGAUUUGAUUUUGGAUCAAGUUGUACAAACAUCUCAAGGAGGAUCAAUGGAAACAGGAUGCACCUGAGCUCAAUUUUGAGUUUCAUACUGUAAAUAAAGUAUUUGUUUUAUAUUUAAUAAAUUUGCAGAAUUUCUAAACUUGUUUUCGCUUUGUCAUUAUGGGGUAUUCUGUGUAGAUUGAGAAAAUAUUAGAUUCAAUUAUUUUAGAAUAAGGCUGUAACAAAAUGCGGGAAAAGGGAAGGGGUCUGAAUACUUUUCUAAUGCACUGUACCACAGAACGAACACAACAGGAAGUACACACUUUUCCAUGAUUCAUUUAUAUAUAUUUUGAAAGAAUGUUUAAUUUUGAAAUGAGUAGAAAGAAACUAGUUGGGGGGGGGGGAAAGCACAUUGUGAAUUUCAGUUUUUUUUGUACUUGCUUUUAGCACUAUGCUUUAAAUACCACUUCCAAGUGGCUUUAAUAAAGACAGAGGCUAUUCACUGAGGCUUUCGUUUGAUGUUUUUGUUGAUCUUUUGCAUAAUUUCACUAGAACCUUAAUAUAUGCUUUGUCACAGAUGUGUCAUGGGAUGCUACAACAUUGUCUGCUUCCUUGCUCAUGGUCUCAACAGUCGAGAUGUUGUUCUGUAUACCAGGUGUGCUGGAUGUCAACUGUUUGUGUAUCAUGUCUAGCCACAAUGAACAAUACAAAAAUCAUGAUAUGAAGAUUGAUUUAACAGAGUUAGUUUCCCAUGUGGUUCAGUGAAUCUGAAGCCACGGGGAUGUGGGUUUUAGAUUAUUUGUUUUUAUUUAACCAGGACAAGACCCUUGAGGUUAGAAACCACUUUCUCAAGGAGGACCUGGGAACUAUGGUGUCUAUCUUGGGCGAUGGGAAGGUUAAAGGCAAAAUGCUCUCACUCUUAGGUGCUGUGAUGGCGAGCCUUGUGUAAUGCACACUGCACCCUUAUAUUGGGAUUUCCUCGCAACAGAUGGGUCAGUGACUUCUUCUUGUAUUUUUAAAGCAUCUGCCUCAAGCUGUUUUUCAUUUUUUUACUCAUAUGCUUCUAUUUUUGGUCUUCGCCCUCAAAGCUCCCGUUCGCCUCAGCUCUGGAUCCAUCUGCCAAAGCAGGAGAAAAAGACAAAGGAGUGCACAGCGUGAGCGGAUAAGGAUUGGCAGGCUGUGGGCUGAAACUAUACUUAUAAUUUUUUGAAUCUCUGGUUUUGACCUGCUCCGAUCGAUACACACUCCCUGCCAGAGCCACUACACGCUUAAAUAAAAAAAGGGGGUAGCUAGUACCUAAAUGGGUUAUUCGGCUGUACCCAUAGGGUUUUACCUGGAACCAAAAAAGCUUCUACUUGGAACCAAAAACCGUUAUCCUAUGGGGACAGCCGAAGAACCCUUUUUUUAAGAGUGCAGCCUUCUCUUUAGACCAGUCUUUAUCAUCAUAAACUCCCCUCUACUCAAUAGCUCUCAGUAUGAUAUGACCACUGCAUUGAAGCCAUUGGGUUGUUCUUGAAUUGUGGAGGUAUUUUCAUUCCUUGGCUUUGUAAUCAUAAAAAUGUAAAGACAAUUACACAUCAUACAUGUUUUUGUUUAUAUUUUACGCUGUUUAUAACAUAAGUCCUUUAUACUGCAAAACUAUGUUAAUUCAAAGUGUCUUGUGUAGAGUUGUUGUGAAAUGUUUUGGGGAUUUAGAGACAUCUAUUAUUUAUAAUUCUAGAAAGUGAACGAAAGUAUUUCAUAUAUUGUAUAGAUCAAUAAAAACAAAAGGCUAUUAAAAUA